UACCAGCUCUUCGAGUGGUGUGGAUGUUUAUUGGGCCUAAAGCAUCCGUAGCUGGCUGGGCAAGUCCCCUGUUAAAUCCACCGAUUUAAUCGUUGGAGUGCGGGGGAUACUGUUCGGCUAGGGGACGGGAGAGGCAGACGGUAUUUUCGGGGUAGGGGUGAAAUCCUAUAACCCCGAGAAGACCACCAGUGGCGAAGGCUGUCUGCUAGAACGCGCCCGACGGUGAGGGAUGAAAGCUGGGGGAGCGAACCGGAUUAGAUACCCGGGUAGUCCCAGCUGUAAACGAUGCAGGCUAGGUGUUUGGACGGCCACGUGCCGUUCUAGUGCCGCAGGGAAGCCGUUAAGCCUGCCGCCUGGGGAGUACGGCCGCAAGGCUGAAACUUAAAGGAAUUGGCGGGGGAGCACCACAAGGGGUGAAGCUUGCGGUUU
rnacentral:rRNA from 1 species